UACGAAGGGGGCUAGCGUUGCUCGGAAUCACUGGGCGUAAAGCGCACGUAGGCGGCUUUUUAAGUCAGGGGUGAAAUCCUGGAGCUCAACUCCAGAACUGCCUUUGAUACUGAGAAGCUCGAGUCCGGGAGAGGUGAGUGGAACUGCGAGUGUAGAGGUGAAAUUCGUAGAUAUUCGCAAGAACACCAGUGGCGAAGGCGGCUCACUGGCCCGGUACUGACGCUGAGACGCGAAAGCGUGGGGAGCGAACAGG
rnacentral:rRNA from 1 species